GACGAACGCUGGCGGCGUGCUUAACACAUGCAAGUCGAACGGAAAGGCCCUGCUUGCAGGGUACUCGAGUGGCGAACGGGUGAGUAACACGUGGGUGAUCUGCCCUGCACUUCGGGAUAAGCUUGGGAAACUGGGUCUAUUACCGGAUAGGCGCCAUCUUUAGUGUGGUGGUUGGAAAGUUUUUUGGGUGUAGGAUGAGCGCGCGGCCUAUCAGCUUGUUGGUGGGGUAAUGGCCUACCAAGGCGGCGACGGGUAGCCGGCCUGAGAGGGUGUACGGCCACAUUGGGACUGAGAUACGGCCCAGACUCCUACGGGGGGCAGCAGUGGGGAAUAUUGCACAAUGGGCGCAAGCCUGAUGCAGCGACGCCGCGUGGGGGAUGAAGGCCUUUGGGUUGUAAACUCCUUUCGCUGGGGACGGAGCUUUUUUGUGACGGUACCUAGAUAAGAAGCACCGGCUAACUACGUG
rnacentral:rRNA from 1 species